rnacentral:ncRNA from 2 species
GCCUUAUCAAGAGUGGCAGAGGGAACGGCCCGGUGAAGCCACGGCAACCUGUUUAAUGCGAAAGCUUUUCACAAGGUGCCAAAUCCGACGGCAUUGCCCGGCGCAAACUUUUUUUGUUGAGCUGCGGCUGCCGGGAGAUGAGAG